rnacentral:lncRNA from 1 species
AAUGAUUUUUGGGUGAAUGUAGAAUUGAUGCUGUUACUCCGCUCCGCUUCACACUUGACUCGCUUAGUCGCUUCUAUAGUUCUACCUCAAUAGGUACUCGUAUAGCUUUCAAGUUACAAGAUUUAAGUUUAAGUUCAGAGAUUGAAAUAUAAAAUAUUAUUCUGAUUUUCAGACCAUUAUGUGAAGGAUUCAGCAUUACGAUUUACGGCUCCAAGAAAAAACCCUAGGUACCCGUAAUGAUUUGAUAAAUCUUCAAUAAAUUGAUGCAUAGAUAUCAGUCACACAUGUCCAACUUGGAAUCUUGAAUAAUGCUUUAAACUUAAGUGAUAGAGAAAGAAAUGUAUUCAGCUUCAAAAGGCAAUAUUUAGUGAUCAGUUGUCAUUACUGACUAGGAUCAAUUAUUUCAUCACUAGUAGAUAUCAGGCAACCGAUAGAACACGAAUUACAGAAUUGAAGAAUGAAUUGGUUUUUGGGUAGAAACCCAACAAAUUGUGGAAUUGUAAACAAUACUAUAUUUGAUAAUAGCACUUGUACUGAAGAGGAAAUUACAAAUAAGAAAUGGAAAGUGAUACAUGUUACCAGGCAUUUAAGAGGCUUGGUAUCUCUUUUAGUUUCCUCAAAUUUCAGGAUGAUUGACUAAACUCUGCCCCCUCUUUAUUUUUGGUGAACUAAUGCCACACUUAUUCAGCAAAGGUCCUCCUAACCAACUCACAAUUUGCUAAAACAAAUCAACCUAAUUACAAAUAUAUCUUAAUCAAAUCUUGGCUACACGGACUCCAUCUCUGGUUGCAUGGACUCUUCUUUCUUUAGCGACUCCAUGACUUGAACUUCCAUUUUUGCCCCUUUAGCUUGUUCAGAACCUUUUUACCCUCCUGGCAUAUGUGAACCACACCAGUGGCAUAUCAGAAACUCAUGUAAUGAACACAGAUAUAAAAAAUACUUAGCUAUCUUGAAAUAGAAAAUAUCUAAUGGAAAAAGAAAGAACGUAUAUAGUUGUCAAGCUAAUUUUGGCCUGACAUGUAUGUUUUUCUCAAGGUGAAGUGAAAGUCUCUUGUUUAUUGCUUAAUCAUUUCUCAAGGUGAAGUGAAAGUCUCUUGUUUAUUGC